AUUGAACGCUGGCGGCAUGCUUUACACAUGCAAGUCGAACGGCAGCGCGGGCUUCGGCCUGGCGGCGAGUGGCGAACGGGUGAGUAAUGCAUCGGAACGUGCCCAGUAGUGGGGGAUAGCCCGGCGAAAGCCGGAUUAAUACCGCAUACGACCUGAGGGUGAAAGCGGGGGACCGAAAGGCCUCGCGCUAUUGGAGCGGCCGAUGUCGGAUUAGCUAGUUGGUGGGGUAAAGGCUUACCAAGGCGACGAUCCGUAGCUGGUCUGAGAGGACGACCAGCCACACUGGGACUGAGACACGGCCCAGACUCCUACGGGAGGCAGCAGUGGGGAAUUUUGGACAAUGGGGGCAACCCUGAUCCAGCCAUGCCGCGUGCGGGAAGAAGGCCUUCGGGUUGUAAACCGCUUUUGUUCGGGAAGAAAUCCUCUGGGCUAAUACCCCGCGGGGAUGACGGUACCGGAAGAAUAAGCACCGGCUAACUACGUG
rnacentral:rRNA from 1 species